rnacentral:misc_RNA from 1 species
CACCAAUAUUAACUUGUAAAAGUAGCUGCAUCCUUCCAGACAAAGAAAUAGAAUGAGAAUCAGUAGCCUAACCAACUGGUUAAAAUGAACAUAGAUAAGAAUCAUGUUGUUGUAGUAAGAUAGUCAGUAGGAUAUGCUUAAGUACCCUGCUAAGCAUAUUCCCAACAGUAUCUCCUCCCUUUAACUUCUCAAAAUGUGGGCAUGGACUAGCCCAACUAAUCAGACAUAUAUAUAUAAUAAUAAUAUUUUAUUAAUCAGAUGGGCUUUAUGUAAACACGAAGUUCAGGCCAUGGUUUCAAAUAACGGUCGUGUUAUUUACAUGUUUUGGAACGGCCCGUUACGCAAUACACCGUUAUUUACAGAAAAAUCUGGACUUGCAAGUUUAACGGCCGUUACAACCGUUACAUAACGGUAAUGGCUGUUAUUUAUCAUUAUAUAAUAGUAACAGCUAUUACUUUAAUUAUUCAUCUGCUAUAAUCACAUGAAAACAGUUUUAUUUUGCUUCUUUUUUCUUUGUUCACGUAUUCUCCCUUCAAUAGUUGCUUUAUCUCUCAUAUUCUCUCAAAUUGUAACCCAAAUUUCUCCUUUCUUCUACAAAAUCUCUCAUUUAAUGUUUGCUAGACUAAGAUCAUCAUUAACUAUCUCU